rnacentral:rRNA from 1 species
AUUGAACGCUGGCGGCAAGCCUAACACAUGCAAGUCGAACGAGUGGCGGACGGGUGAGUAAUGUCUGGGAAACUGCCUGAUGGAGGGGGAUAACUACUGGAAACGGUAGCUAAUACCGCAUACCAUCGGAUGUGCCCAGAUGGGGUUAGCUAGUAGGUGGGGUAAAGGCUCACCUAGGCGACGAUCCCUAGCUGGUCUGAGAGGAUGACCGGCAAAACGGGAACUGAGAAACGGUCCAGACUCCUACGGGAGGAAGCAGUGGGGAAUAUUGCACAAUGGGCGCAAGCCGGAUGCAGCCAUGCCGCGUGUAUGAAGAAGGCCUUCGGGUUGUAAAGUACUUUCAGCGGGGAGGCGGUACCCGAAGAAGAAGCACCGGCUAACUCCGUGCCAGCAGCCGCGGUAAUAC